rnacentral:rRNA from 1 species
UACGUAGGGUCCGAGCGUUGUCCGGAAUUAUUGGGCGUAAAGGGCUCGUAGGCGGUUUGUCGCGUCGGGAGUGAAAACUCAGGGCUCAACCCUGAGCGUGCUUCCGAUACGGGCAGACUGGAGGUAUGCAGGGGAGAACGGAAUUCCUGGUGUAGCGGUGGAAAUGCGCAGAUAUCAGGAGGAACACCAGUGGCGAAGGCGGCUCACUGGGCG